rnacentral:rRNA from 1 species
GACGAACGCUGGCGGCGUGCCUAAUACAUGCAAGUCGAACGCACUCUCGUUUAGAUUGAAGGAGCUUGCUCCUGAUUGAUAAACAUUUGAGUGAGUGGCGGACGGGUGAGUAACACGUGGGUAACCUGCCCUAAAGUGGGGGAUAACAUUUGGAAACAGAUGCUAAUACCGCAUGAAACCUAACACCGCAUGGUGUAGGGUUGAAAGAUGGUUUCGGCUAUCACUUUAGGAUGGACCCGCGGUGCAUUAGUUAGUGGUGAGGUAAAGGCUCACCAAGACCGUGAUGCAUAGCCGACCUGAGAGGGUAAUCGGCCACACUGGGACUGAGACACGGCCCAGACUCCUACGGGAGGCAGCAGUAGGGAAUCUUCCACAAUGGACGAAAGUCUGAUGGAGCAACGCCGCGUGAGUGAAGAAGUUUUCGGAUCGUAAAACUCUGUUGUUGGAGAAGAAUGUAUCUGAUAGUAACUGAUCAGGUAGUGACGGUAU